rnacentral:rRNA from 1 species
GACGAACGUUGGCGGCGUGGAUUAGGCAUGCAAGUCGAGCGAGAACCCCGCAAGGGGGGACAGCGGCAAACGGGGUAGUAAUGUGUCGGAACGUGCCCUCAGGUCGGGGAUAGCGGCGGGAAACUGCCGGUAAUACCCGAUGACCUCGAGAGAGCAAAGGUGUGACUCCGCCGGAGGAGCGGCCGACAUGGUAUUAGCUAGUUGGUGAGGUAACGGCUCACCAAGGCGAUGAUGCCUAGGGGAUGUGAGAGCAUGAUCCCCACCAUUGGGACUGAGAAACUGCCCAGACACCUACGGGUGGCUGCAGUCGAGAAUCUUCGUCAAUGGGCGAAAGCCUGAACGAGCGACGCCGCGUGCGGGAUGAAGGCCCUUGGGUUGUAAACCGCUGUCGAGGGGGAUGAAGGCAUUCAGGUACUCCUGAAUGUUUGACAGAGCCCUGGAGGAAGCACGGGCUAAGUUCGUGCCAGCAGCCGCAGUAACAC